AUUGAACGCUGGCGGCAGGCCUAACACAUGCAAGUCGAACGGUAACAGGAAGAAGCUUGCUUCUUUGCUGACGAGUGGCGGACGGGUGAGUAAUGUCUGGGAAACUGCCUGAUGGAGGGGGAUAACUACUGGAAACGGUAGCUAAUACCGCAUAACGUCGCAAGACCAAAGAGGGGGACCUUCGGGCCGCUUGCCAUCGGAUGUGCCCAGAUGGGAUUAGCUAGUAGGUGGGGUAAGGGCUCACCUAGGCGACGAUCCCUAGCUGGUCUGAGAGGAUGACCAGCCACACUGGAACUGAGACACGGUCCAGACUCCUACGGGAGGCAGCAGUGGGGAAUAUUGCACAAUGGGCGCAAGCCUGAUGCAGCCAUGCCGCGUGUAUGAAGAAGGCCUUCGGGUUGUAAAGUACUUUCAGCGGGGAGGAAGGGAGUAAAGUUAAUACCUUUGCUCAUUGACGUUACCCGCAGAAGAAGCACCGGCUAACUCCGUG
rnacentral:rRNA from 1 species